CCAGGGCACUUGACUGUGCAGCCUAUCUAAGAAGGUUGAAUUCCCUGCAGUCUCAGCACAGGAGACAACAGCACGGUCUGGAGGCUCGACAUGUGAAGUAACACUAGUCUGUUCAUUAAGGAUUUCCUAGUCUGCUUCUACCUGAAGCCAAACAUCUGGAUGGAAUAUGCAAAAGCCAGACCACAGAGCUGGGUGUUCUUCACAUGAGAGUGUUUGCCAGGGGAACACAGACCGUCCGGAGACCAUUGCGAUUUCCCUCUUCAUCCUUGGGUUAAGGAUCUUACACGGACCGGAUGGAAGGGGAUGCACGCCCUUGUCCCUGGGCUCCUCGGAGCUCACCAGCCUUCACAGCCCGGUGUGGUGACCUCUCCACUGCACCUCUUCCUACCCCCUCAGGAGACAUGGGGGACAGAGGACAUGCUCUGACGUGUAUCAUUUGGCCACA